UGACCAUACCAUUUGCUCAAUCCGCACGAGUCCUCCACAUCUGCUGCAUUCAUCUGGCCAUCUAUAUAUGGCAUAUCUAUACUUCUUUGAAUGGGAUGAAGAAGAGUUGGAAUAAUACACUCCAUGAUCAUUAUCAUCAAAGCAAGUAGAUCAAGUGUUCGGAUAGGAUGGAGAAUUCAUUGGCUUUUCGCAGCUCACGAAAACCACACCCCUUGAUGAUAUCGGGGUGUACGGAUCCCAAGAACUGAAAUUGUGGACACUUGUUAUAUCUUGUGUCGCCGCAGUUUGCUGGAUCGUUUCUGAGUCGAAAAGGAUACCUUAUGCCGUGGAUAUUGCCGCACGAAGAAGGAGCACAGUGAUGGCUAUCCUUGAUACUGCAAGUUUGAUGGACCAUCGACAUAAGAACAAUAAGGGCAGUGAGUGCUGCAGAGAAGGGCACUCCUCCGUCCAUUGACAGAGAGAUCAGAGAGACAGAUGGGUAUAUAUAUAAAGCUUCCAAAGCUGUUGACAAACAUAUUAUAAAUGAACGUUAGAGAGCACCAAGAGCAUUUUGCUGAUAACCCAAGUGCUAUAGAACUUCUCCCGAACUUUACUGAUCAUUGACCAAGGUGAGCUUGACUUAGAAUAGUUCAGCUUUACAACGAUACUGUCUAAUUCAUUGACUUAAUUUGGCUGCUCGGGCAAGUUUGCGAGUGAUACGAGGCCAACUAGUUUGUUCUGAGAGUACAUUGCGGAUCAUAUCACAUGCAUGCUUUCAAGUUUCAACCCGGACGUAUACGAAUUCUUUUUCCAAUCCAUGAGUUCGACGCACUCCCACAUCAUAGACGCAAUCUUUUUAUCAUUAAACCUCUUCAUGCGACCUGUUGACUUAAUAUUAUUUCUUCGUUUUCUGUCCGAUCUUCUCAGAUCAUAACAUUGUCUGCACAUUUACAGUACUCGGCCUCCCUUCCCUGCAACAACUAAAAUAAUGGCUGUAUAUCCCAUGUCCCAUUUAAGCUCCGUGAGAUGUCUGUGACUUUGAAUCUUCUUUCUGAUCAAAACUGUUGCGUAGAAAAUAAGAAAAAGUCGAGUAAAGUGAUAGGUUAGUUUGAUAUACUUCAAUGACGGUUCAGUAACAAGGCCUCUGUAGGGAGGGGGACGGCCAGAAUCUCUCUGUUAUUUACCCAGUUUCAAUAAUAUAGUAGAAGCUGCAGAGAGUUCCGAUGGCAGAAAGAUAUUUCAGUCCAUCGCCUGUAAGUUUUUGGUUGAAAUGGAAACGGCUAACCAAUUACGUGUGUUAA